CAGGGGAUUGCAGUGGCAAAGCUAGGCUAGGUCUUGGAGGCUGGUGUAAGGCGAUGUGGGUGAAGGCAGGAGGCUGAUGGAAAGACUGGGGGGAAGAAAAGCCGAAAUGGAUUCACGGUGCCUUGGAUGAAGGACGAGAGGGGAACUGCAAGCUCCUUCAACUGGUUCUGUCCGGUGAGAAGUGAUCAAGCUUGGGCUGACAAGAGGCUCAGGGAGCCCUCACGUUCUUUCGCUUUUUUACCUGCCAAUCAAACUGCUACAAGACAACACCCUGAUCUGGCAUGGACAUACACAGCCCAGGCAGACAGAAGGAAACGGAGCAUUAAUCCAACUGCAGUCACCCCAAAGUACAGGCCAUUUGGAUCCAGAAGAGAAACUGGUUCCUUCUACAAGCUCUCCCGUUCUCCCUGGGGCCCUUCACAGCCUCCUUGUCUACGUUGUGGCUGUGCUUUCCCUGAUCCAACUUAGAAAUAAUGUUUCAUUCAAGAUAAGGCUCGUGGCUUAGGAGAUUGUGACCUGGCUUGCAUCAUUCUAAGACUUCUAUCGUCUGUUUUCAAAACCCAAGGAGGACCUCCUUUUCUGUGUGAUAGUUCCUCAUGCUUUGCCAGCC
rnacentral:lncRNA from 1 species